UAAAACAAAAUUAUUUCUAUUCUAUUGUCAUAAUUUGAAUAUCUCUACCGAAAUGGCCUGUGUUGAACAAUAACAAUAUUAUAAAUAUGCAUACUAUUAUAACUAUUUACUUACUUACUUAUCUAUUUAAUAACUUUUUUGCCCGGCCGCUUCCCAGAAGAGCAUAAAGUGAGAGAUGGACAUAAAUGGAAUUUAGGAUUUUAAGA